rnacentral:rRNA from 1 species
UUUUUAUGGAGAGUUUGAUCCUGGCUCAGGACGAACGCUGGCGGCGUGCCUAAUACAUGCAAGUCG